rfam:Ciona savignyi cont_31117, whole genome shotgun sequence.
GCCCGGUUAGCUCAGCCGGCAGAGCGUUGGACUUUUAAUCCAAAGGCCAAGGUUUCAAGUCCCUUAUCGGGCU